rnacentral:tRNA from 1 species
GGGCGGUUAGCUCAGAUGGCUAGAGCACCUGCCUUACAAGCAGGGGGUCGGAGGUUCGAGUCCUCUACCGCCCACCA